rnacentral:tRNA from 1 species
UCGGGGAUAGCUCAGCUUGGUAGAG